rnacentral:rRNA from 1 species
GCGAGUGAAGCGGCAACGGCUCAAAUUUGAAAUCCGGCGCAAGCCCGAGUUGUAAUUUGCAGAGGAUGCUUCGGCCCGCGGUCACGGCUCAAGUGCCCUGGAAGGGGACGCCGCGGAGGGUGAUAGCCCCGUCAUGGGCCGUCGACCCGCGGCCGUGUGAAGCUCCCUCGACGAGUCGAGUUGUUUGGGAAUGCAGCUCCAAAUCGGGAGGUAAAUUCCUUCCAAAGCUAAAUACCGGCCAAGGACCGAUAGCGCACAAGUAGAGUGAUCGAAAGAUGAAAAGCACUUUGGAAAGAGAGUCAAACAGUACGUGAAAUUGUUGAGAGGGAAGCGUUUGCGAUCAGACGCGUGGGGGGUCGGCUCACCCCGGCCCGCGUGGUCGGGGGCAUUCCCUCCCCCUGCGAGCCAGCAUCGGCUCGGGCGGCGGCAGGAACCGGGCGGGAACGUGACUCCCUCGCGGAGUGUUACAGCCCGCACGGCCUCCCACCGCCCGCCUGGGCCGAGGCAGGCGCGCCCCGUUCCGCGGGGCGCAAGGAUGCUGGCGUAAUGGUCGUAAGCGGCCCGUCUUGAAACACGGACCAAGGAGUCCAACGUCCGCGCGAGUGUGUGGGUGUCAAGCCCGCGCGCGAAAUGAAGGUGAACGAAGGUGGGAAGCCGUUCCCCCCCGGGGGGGCAGCCGCACCAUCGACCGAUCCUGAUGUCCUCGGAUGGAUUUGAGUGGGAGCGCGGCCGCUGGGACCCGAAAGAUGGUGAACUAUGCCUGCUUAGGCUGAAGUCAGGGGAAACCCUGAUGGAAGGUCGCAGCGGUUCUGACGUGCAAAUCGAUCGUCAAAAGUGGGUAUAGGGGCGAAAGACUAAUCGAACCAUCUAGUAGCUGGUUCACACCGAAGUUUCCCUCAGGAUAGCAGCGGCGAUAUCAGUUUUAUGAGGUAAAGCGAAUGAUUGGAGGCAUUGGGGUUGAAACAACCUUAACCUACUCUCAAACUCUGAAUGUGUAAGAGGCCCCCGUUACUUAAGUGAACCCGGGCAUCGA